CCAGGAUCCACUCUUUCCCAGACCUCAUUUGAGAGUUGAUAGUGGAGGUGAGAGUAUCUCUGUCCCUCUCUUCCUGAGGCCUUCCAAAGAAGAUAGGCAGUGAGGAGGAGGAGGAGGAGGAGGUGAUAUUGCUGAAAACAUUUUGCAUAAUCUGCUAUUGAAGUCUAAACUGAAGACUUGCAAUGUUACUAAGAGCAAUUUGUGUACAUUUUAUUCUUCAUCGCAUAUUAAGAUCUCAAAGAUCUCAUUCUUCUCAGCUUAUGCAUUUGCUCGUGGUUGGCAGUGUCCAGCAGACAGCAGAUGCCGAAACAAAUAAAUGUGAGAAUAUGUCAUUGCAAGCAGUUGAGUUAUCCUAGUUUAAUGAGUUUCCACAAGCAGUAAUCAGUUGUGAUUUCCUCUGUCCAUCAUAUGAGAGCUAAAUGCUAAGUAUGAACAGGCAUGAGGAUUAUAGAAGGCAG
rnacentral:lncRNA from 1 species